AACGUUUUCCCCCUUUUCUGGUUUACAAGACCAGGGUAAUGUGCGACGCAAACUACCCUGGUCUUG
rnacentral:tRNA from 1 species